rnacentral:rRNA from 1 species
UACGUAGGGUCCGAGCGUUGUCCGGAAUUAUUGGGCGUAAAGGGCUCGUAGGCGGUUUGUCGCGUCGGGAGUGAAAACACGGGGCUUAACCCCGUGCCUGCUUCCGAUACGGGCAGACUAGAGGUAUGCAGGGGAGAACGGAAUUCCUGGUGUAGCGGUGAAAUGCGCAGAUAUCAGGAGGAACACCGGUGGCGAAGGCGGGUCUCUGGGCCGAUACUGACGCUGAGGAGCGAAAGCGUGGGGAGCAAACAGG